AGAGUUUGAUCCUGGCUCAGGAUGAACGCUAGCGGCAGGCCUAACACAUGCAAGUUGAGGGGUAACAGGAGUAGCAAUACUUGCUGACGACCGGCGCACGGGUGCGUAACGCGUAUGCAAUCUACCCGCAACAGGGGGAUAGCCCGAAGAAAUUCGGAUUAAUACCCCAUAGUAAUUAACAAAGGCAUCUUUGUAAAUUUAAAGCUCCGGCGGUUGCGGAUGAGCAUGCGUGACAUUAGUUAGUUGGUAAGGUAACGGCUUACCAAGACGAUGAUGUCUAGGGGGUCUUAAAGGAUGAUCCCCCACACUGGUACUGAGACACGGACCAGACUCCUACGGGAGGCAGCAGUGAGGAAUAUUGGUCAAUGGACGCAAGUCUGAACCAGCCAUGCCGCGUGCAGGAUGACAGCCCUACGGGUCGUAAACUGCUUUUAUACGAGAAGAAACGCUAUUACGUGUAUUAGUUUGACGGUAUCGUAUGAAUAAGGAUCGGCUAACUCCGUGCCAGCAGCCGCGGUAAUACGGAGGAUCCAAGCGUUAUCCGGAUUUAUUAGGUUUAAAGGGUGCGCAGGCGGGAGAAUAAGUCAGUGGUGAAAUCCUACAGCUUAACUGUAGAACAGCCAUUGAUACUGUUUUUCUUGGGUGCGGUUGAAGCAGGCGGAAUGUGUAGUGUAGCGGUGAAAUGCUUAGAUAUUACACAGAACUCCUAUUGCGAAGGCAGCUUGCUAAACCGUAACUGACGCUGAGGCACGAAAGCGUGGGGAGCGAACAGGAUUAGAUACCCUGGUAGUCCACGCCGUAAACGAUGAUUACUCGUUGUGUGCGAUAUACAGUACGCGACUGAGCGAAAGCAUUAAGUAAUCCACCUGGGGAGUACGUUCGCAAGAAUGAAACUCAAAGGAAUUGACGGGGGCCCGCACAAGCGGAGGAACAUGUGGUUUAAUUCGAUGAUACGCGAGGAACCUUACCCGGGCUUAAAUGUAGGAUGACCGUUUCCGAAAGGAGACUUCUCUUCGGAGCAGCUUACAAGGUGCUGCAUGGCUGUCGUCAGCUCGUGCCGUGAGGUGUCGGGUUAAGUCCCAUAACGAGCGCAACCCCUAUCAUUAGUUGCUAGCAGGUCAAGCUGAGGACUCUAAUGAGACUGCCACCGUAAGGUGAGAGGAAGGCGGGGAUGACGUCAAGUCAGCACGGCCCUUAUGUCCGGGGCUACACACGUGUUACAAUGGUUGGUACAAAGGGCAGCUACACCGCGAGGUGAUGCUAAUCUCAAAAACCAAUCUCAGUUCGGAUCGGAGUCUGGAACUCGACUCCGUGAAGUUGGAUUCGCUAGUAAUCGUAUAUCAGCAAUGAUACGGUGAAUACGUUCCCGGGCCUUGUACACACCGCCCGUCAAGCCAUGGAAGCCGGGAGUGCCUGAAGUACGUAACCGCAAGGAUCGUCCUAGGGUAAGACUGGUAACUGGGGCUAAGUCGUAACAAGGUA
rnacentral:rRNA from 1 species